UAAACAGAAAGGUUACAGUUAAUCAUCAUAAAUGUUUUGCAGAGAUUUCUCUUAGAGUCUAUCAGAAGAAAGCUAAAGGGGUUAUCAUGAUGUUCAACCACAGAGUUAACCUUGACUGGCGCCUGGCAAACUUUAUCUUUCUUUCUCUGACUCAUCUCUAAGCCUGAGGGUGGAACCAAAGUUCAUUCGUUCUUAUUACUAACUAUGAAAAUUUCUUACAAUGUGGCUGAAUAGGCAAACAUAAAAUCGCAAUUAGCAGCGAAGAGCCGAUUUCCAAAUGUAAUCAGAGCUAUUGACUGCACUCAUAUUACUGUAAGAGCACCUUCUGAAAAUUAAUUUGCUUUUGUGAAUCAGAAGCAUUUUCAUUCAAUAAAUGUGCAACUAAUUUGUGAUGCACAAAUGUGUUUCACAAAUAUAGUGGCACGUUGGCCUGGUUCAACUCAUGAUUYCUUUAUACUGCGGAAUAGUUCGGAAUAAACUUGAAGUAGGAGCUGUGUGUGAUGGCUGGCUUCUAGGUAUUUAUUUAUUUUUUCUUGCAACAUUCUGAAUUAUUUACAGCCUUUUAUCAUUUGUGUCACAGUGAGAGGCAUAUUUGUGUCAGCUCAAUUUAUUAAGUGUACUAAUUAUCUUUAGGUGACCAAGGCUACCCACUUGCUACCUGGCUCCUCACUCCACUCUUCAACCCCCACACAGAACAAGAGCUGCGAUAUAACGCGCUGCAUGCCCGAGCACGGUCUAUUAUUGAAUGCGCUAUAGGGCAUCUCAAAGGCUGCAGGUGCUGCCUGGACAGGAGUGGUGGCGUCCUGCUUCACUCUCCACAGAAGGCAUGUUGCAUUGUGGUAGCAUGUGCCAUGUUGCAUAAUGUGACAAAACUUUGUGGGGUGCCUCUACUUGAUGUGGRUGUCGACAACGAUGAUCCAGACCCUGGGCCAGCACCCAUAAAUGAGUUAAAUGCAGCUGUGAACCAGCAUCGUUUGGAUUUCAUUCAGACAUUAUAAAACAAUACAGCACAGCAUUGGUCAGCACCCGGCCUGAUUGAUGACCUCCUUCAGCUGAGGCCCGCGGURCCUCUGCUUCAGGCACCUCCCGUUGCACCGAGUGAGGGGCUGUCGGGGGGUCCAGUGGAGAAGCUGGAUGAGGAACUGGGUUCCUCUGCGUCUCUGGCACUGCAUUCCCUGGUUUCCACUUGAACUGCCAAUAAAAGUAAUAAUAACUCAG